GGAGCCAUUACUUCAAGAUCAUCGAGGACCUGAGGGCUCAGAUCUUCGCAAAUACUGUGGACAAUGCCCGCAUCAUUCUUCAGAUUGACAAUGCCCGUCUUGCUGCUGAUGACUUUAGAGUCAAGUAUGAGACAGAGCUGGCCAUGUGCCAGUCUGUGGAGAAUGACAUCCAUGGGCUCCGCAAGGUCAUUGAUGACACCAAUGUCACUCGACUGCAGCUGGAGACAGAGAUCGAGGCUCUCAAGGAGGAGCUGCUCUUCAUGAAGAAGAACCACGAAGAGGAAGUAAAAGGCCUACAAGCCCAGAUUGCCAGCUCUGGGUUGACCGUGGAGGUAGAUGCCCCCAAAUCUCAGGACCUCGCCAAGAUAAUGGCAGACAUCCGGGUCCAAUAUGACGAGCUGGCUCGGAAGAACCGAGAGGAGUUAGACAAGUACUGGUCUCAGCAGAUUGAGGAGAGCACCACAGUGGUCACCACACAGUCCGCCGAGGUUGGAGCUGCUGAGACGACGCUCACAGAGCUGAGACGUACAGUCCAGUCCUUGGAGAUCGACCUGGACUCCAUGAGAAAUCUGAAGGCCAGCUUGGAGAACAGCCUGAGGGAGGUGGAGGCCCGCUAUGCCCUACAGAUGGAGCAGCUCAAUGGGAUCCUGCUGCACCUGGAGUCAGAGCUGGCACAGACCUGGGCAGAGGGACAGCGACAGGCCCAGGAGUAUGAGGCCCUGCUGAACAUCAAGGUCAAGCUGGAAGCUGAGAUUGCCACCUACCGCCGCCUGCUGGAAGACGGCGAGGAAUUCAAUCUUGGUGAUGCCUUGGACAGCAGCAACUCCAUGCAAACCAUCCAAAAGACCACCACCCGCCGGAUAGUGGAUGGCAAAGUGGUGUCUGAGACCAACGACACCAAAGUUCUGAGGCAUUAAGCCAGCAGAAGCAGGGUACCCUUUGGGGAGCAGGAGGCCAAUAAAAAGUUCAGAGUU